AGUUUCGUUGCUAAGCCUCAAACAUCGCAAUCGAAGCAGUGAUCUUUUUUCAGUUUGCACGUCGUUCUCCCCUCGUGCGCUCUACUGUCGUCAGCCUCUCCAACCAGCACCUACAUGCGUGACCAGCCAACCACCUUCAACUGAUUCACCUGCUGACCUUGCAAUACAUGAAAGAUUUCAUCAGGCAUAUGUAGCCUGAAAAUUGAAAGAGUCUUCUUUAAUUGUUCUACUCUAUCUUGAUGGAUGUGGUGCUAGAAUGGUUUGGUGGUUGAAUCAUGGAGAGGCUCAUUCACAUCGACUUUAUGUACCUGCAAAAUCAAUAUAUUUGGAGCAAAAGCAUAAAUAAGGAGCUGGAAAGGUGGCAAAAUCCCCCCCCCUUUGAUCCAGUCUGUCAUGUUUGCUUCCAAAGAAACACAUAUCAGAGAUCAAAAUGCAUCU